rnacentral:RNase_P_RNA from 1 species
GAAGCCCACCAGACUGUCGCUGGUGCAAGCCCCUCGGGGCCGACGCCUUGGCGUCGGGUGGAAACACCGCACUGGAGGAACGUCCGGACUGCAAAGGGCAGCGUAGCAGCUAACGGCUGUCCACUGAAAACCGGGCAGGCGCCUGGACGGCAAUGCCGGGCACGCAAGUGCCCGGCAGAACCGCACUGGCGUUUGCCCGGCAUAAGGUGAGGAUCAGAGCAACAGAGACGAGUCGCCGUAUCGGGCAACCCAUGCGGCGGGUGAAACGGGCAAUCUCUACGCGCAGCAAUACCAAAUAGGCACAUGUUGGGACGCGCAGUUCGCUGCGCCCCCUACCCGGGGCCCCCGGGGUGUGUGCGGGUAGGUAGCACCGAGCCGCCGGGUGACCGGCGGCCCAGAUUAAUGGCAGUCACAUGGCGGGCAACCGCCAUGCACAGAAUCCGGCUUAUCGGUGGGCUUCACAC